rnacentral:rRNA from 1 species
UGGGGAAUAUUGCACAAUGGGCGCAAGCCUGAUGCAGCCAUGCCGCGUGUGUGAAGAAGGCCUUCGGGUUGUAAAGCACUUUCAGCGGGGAGGAAGGCGUUAAGGUUAAUAACCUUGGCGAUUGACGUUACCCGCAGAAGAAGCACCGGCUAACUCCGUGCCAGCAGCCGCGGUAAUACGGAGGGUGCAAGCGUUAAUCGGAAUUACUGGGCGUAAAGCGCACGCAGGCGGUCUGUCAAGUCGGAUGUGAAAUCCCCGGGCUCAACCUGGGAACUGCAUUCGAAACUGACAGGCUAGAGUCUUGUAGAGGGGGGUAGAAUUCCAGGUGUAGCGGUGAAAUGCGUAGAGAUCUGGAGGAAUACCGGUGGCGAAGGCGGCCCCCUGGACAAAAACUGACGCUCAGGUGCGAAAGCGUGGGGAGCAAACAGG